ACCUUAAUAGCAAAACGGUAAUGCAGAGGACUUAAGAUCCCCUACUAAAGGUUCGAUUCUUUUUUAAGGUU
rnacentral:tRNA from 2 species